GACGAACGCUGGCGGCGUGCCUAAUACAUGCAAGUAGAACGCUGAAGAGAGGAGCUUGCUCUUCUUGGAUGAGUUGCGAACGGGUGAGUAACGCGUAGGUAACCUGCCUUGUAGCGGGGGAUAACUAUUGGAAACGAUAGCUAAUACCGCAUAACAAUAGGUGACACAUGUCAUUUAUUUGAAAGGGGCAAUUGCUCCACUACAAGAUGGACCUGCGUUGUAUUAGCUAGUAGGUGAGGUAACGGCUCACCUAGGCGACGAUACAUAGCCGACCUGAGAGGGUGAUCGGCCAAACUGGGACUGAGACACGGCCCAGACUCCUACGGGAGGCAGCAGUAGGGAAUCUUCGGCAAUGGGGGCAACCCUGACCGAGCAACGCCGCGUGAGUGAAGAAGGUUUUCGGAUCGUAAAGCUCUGUUGUAAGUCAAGAACGAGUGUGAGAGUGGAAAGUUCACACUGUGACGGUAGCUUACCAGAAAGGGACGGCUAACUACGUG
rnacentral:rRNA from 1 species